GGUGCCAUAGCCAAGUGGUAAGGCAAAGGUCUGCAACACCUCUAUCCCCGGUUCAAAUCCGGUGGCACCUCUA
rnacentral:tRNA from 1 species